rnacentral:rRNA from 1 species
GAUGAACGCUGGCGGCGUGCCUAAUACAUGCAAGUCGAGCGAACGGACGAGAAGCUUGCUUCUCUGAUGUUAGCGGCGGACGGGUGAGUAACACGUGGAUAACAUACCUAUAAGACUGGGAUAACUUCGGGAAACCGGAGCUAAUACCGGAUAAUAUUUUGAACCGCAUGGUUCAAAAGUGAAAGACGGUCUUGCUGUCACUUAUAGAUGGAUCCGCGCUGCAUUAGCUAGUUGGUAAGGUAACGGCUCACCAAGGCGACGAUCCGUAGCUGACCUGAGAGGAUGAUCAGCCAUACUGGAACUGAGACACGGUCCAGACUCCUACGGGAGGCAGCAGUGGGGAAUAUUGGACAAUGGGCGCAAGCCUGAUCCAGCCAUACCGCGUGGGUGAAGAAGGCCUUCGGGUUGUAAAGCCCUUUUGUUGGGAAAGAAAAGCAGCAGGUUAAUACCCCGCUGUUCUGACGGUACCCAAAGAAUAAGCACCGGCUAACUUCGUG